rnacentral:rRNA from 1 species
AACGAACGCUGGCGGCAGGCUUAACACAUGCAAGUCGAACGAGCUGGGGUCUUCGGUCCCCGAUGCUAGUGGCGCACGGGUGAGUAACACGUGGGAAUAUGCCCUUUAGUACGGAAUAACCAAGGGAAACUUUGGCUAAUCCCGUAUACGCCCUUCGGGUGAAAGAUUUAUCGCUAAAGGAUUAGCCCGCGUCUCAUUAGGUAGUUGGUGAGGCAAUGGCUCAUCAAGCCGACGAUCAGUAGCUGGGCUGAGAGGAUGAUCAGCCACACUGGAACUGAGAAACGGCCCAGACUCCUACGAGAGGAAGGAAUGGGGGAUAUUGGACAAUGGGGGCAACCAUGAUCCAGCCAGGCCGCGUGAGUGAAGAAGGCCUUCGGGAUGUAAAGCUCUUUCGACGGGGACGAUGAUGACGGUACCCGUAUAAGAAGCCCCGGCAAACUUCGUG